GAUGAAGAACGCAGCGAAAUGCGAUAAGUAAUGUGAGUUGCAGAAUUCAGUGAAUCAUCGAAUCUUUGAACGCAUCUUGCGCUCCUUGGUAUUCUGAGGAGCAUGCCUGUUUGAGUGUCAUUAAAUUCUCAACUACACUGACUUUGAAUUGGUGUGGCUUGGAUUUGGGGGGAAAAUUGUUGUGGGCUUUUUGUAUAGUCUGCUCCCCUGAAAUUGAUUAGCGGUACCUUUGUGGAACUGUCUACAGGUGUGAUAAUUAUCUACAUCUUAGACAUCUGCUGGAAUGCUGCUUUCUAAACCUUACUUGUAUUGACAAUCUUGACCUCAAAUCAGGUAGGACUACCCGCUGAACUUAAGCAUAUCAAUAAGCGGAGGA
rnacentral:misc_RNA from 1 species